CCUACGGGAGGCUGCAGUGGGGAAUAUUGGACAAUGGGGGGAACCCUGAUCCAGCCAUGCCGCGUGUGUGAAGAAGGCCCUCGGGUUGUAAAGCACUUUCAGUGAGGAAGAACGCCUGGUGGUUAAUACCCAUCAGGAAAGACAUCACUCACAGAAGAAGCACCGGCUAACUCCGUGCCAGCAGCCGCGGUAAUACGGAGGGUGCGAGCGUUAAUCGGAAUUACUGGGCGUAAAGCGCGCGUAGGUGGCUUGAUAAGCCGGUUGUGAAAGCCCCGGGCUCAACCUGGGAACGGCAUCCGGAACUGUCAAGCUAGAGUGCAGGAGAGGAAGGUAGAAUUCCCGGGGUAGCGGUGAAAUGCGUAGAGAUCGGGAGGAAUACCAGUGGCGAAGGCGGCCUUCUGGACUGACACUGACACUGAGGUGCGAAAGCGUGGGUAGCAAACAGGAUUAGAUACCCCGGUAGUC
rnacentral:rRNA from 1 species